AAAGACCGGACCGCUACGAUCCACCCCCUCCCUGCCCCCACCGCCCAUCCUAAAGCACCUUAUAUCGCGGAAACCACUCAGCCUCCUCUUUCCUCCGAGAACACGCGGAGCAGCCCCUGAAAACGCUUUGGUCCUCUGCAGGGGGAGCGCUCUGGGGUCUCCGCACAAAACCUGCUUUUGAGCCCUUUGGCUUUCUUCAGGCGAGCGCAGUCCGUCCAUCCCCCUGGCCCACCCAGCCGCAAGGGAUGCUGUGAAAAGAGCCGCUGCUUGCCGCCUCCGGCCUGCCGUCCAGAGGGCUCCGCCCGUAGAGGUCAACUCCCCUCAUUCUUCUUUCCAUCUUGCCCUCCCUCCGCCGAGCCCAGACUCGGAUCUCCUCCUGACUCCCGCCGCAGUCAGAGAGAGCGCAUCUGCUGCGCUGCCCUUAAAUCUACGCCCAGAGCGGGCUCAGACCCGAUCUCUGCUCUCCAGAGCCGGAGGAAGCCCGAGCAAGCAGCCUUUUCUCUUCGCAGUAAAAUCAUAGCCAGACCAGAUGGGCCCCAGCUCUCCCGGGACUCGGCAGGCUUAUAUGGAGUAAAAUAAUGUAGAAUGCUGCAUCACCCCUCAGCACCGUGAAUUUAGAAGUUCCAGCAUGUUGUGAAGCAGACACAUCUUUGCUAUGAACACUGUGACUCA
ensembl:lincRNA Mir124-2hg Mir124-2 host gene (non-protein coding)